rnacentral:rRNA from 1 species
UACGUAGGGUGCAAGCGUUGUCCGGAAUUAUUGGGCGUAAAGAGCUCGUAGGCGGUUUGUCACGUCGGAUGUGAAACCCCGGGGCUCAACCCCGGGCCUGCAUUCGGUACGGGCAGACUAGAGUUCGGCAGGGGAGACUGGAAUUCCUGGUGUAGCGGUGGAAUGCGCAGAUAUCAGGAGGAACACCAAUGGCGAAGGCAGAUCUCUGGGCCGUAACUGACGCUGAGGAGCGAAAGCAUGGGGAGCGAACAGG